rnacentral:piRNA from 1 species
UUGUACUUGAUACUGUCUGGUAGCC